UACGUAGGGGGCUAGCGUUGUCCGGAUUUAUUGGGCGUAAAGAGCGUGUAGGCGGCCAUGUAGGUCCGGUUGUGAAAACUCGAGGCUUAACCUCGAGAUGUCAUCGGAAACCAUUUGGCUAGAGUCCGGAAGAGGAGAGUGGAAUUCCUGGUGUAGCGGUGAAAUGCGCAGAUAUCAGGAAGAACACCAAUGGCGAAAGCAGCUCUCUGGGACGGUACUGACGCUGAGACGCGAAAGCGUGGGGGAGCGAACAGG
rnacentral:rRNA from 1 species